rnacentral:rRNA from 1 species
GACGAAGGAUUCAAGCGUUAUCCGGAUUCAUUGGGUUUAAAGGGUGCGUAGGCGGCCCGGUAAGUCAGUGGUGAAAUCUCCUUGCUUAACAAGGAAACUGCCAUUGAUACUGCUGGGCUUGAGUACAGAUGCUGUGGGCGGAAUAUGACAUGUAGUGGUGAAAUACAUAGAGAUGUCAUAGAACACCGAUUGCGAAGGCAGCUCACAAAAACUGUAAACUGACGCUGAGGCACGAAAGUGCGGGGGAUCAAAACAGG